rnacentral:rRNA from 1 species
AUUGAACGCUGGCGGCAUGCUUUACACAUGCAAGUCGAACGGUAACAGGUUAAGCUGACGAGUGGCGAACGGGUGAGUAAUGCAUCGGAACGUGCCCGGUCGUGGGGGAUAACGCAGCGAAAGCUGCGCUAAUACCGCAUACGAUCCGAGGAUGAAAGCGGGGGACCGUAAGGCCGCGCGCAAUCGGAGCGGCCGAUGUCAGAUUAGGUAGUCGGUGGGGUAAAGGCUCACCAAGCCAACGAUCUGUAGCUGGUCUGAGAGGACGACCAGCCACACUGGGACUGAGACACGGCCCAGACUCCUACGGGAGGCAGCAGUGGGGAAUUUUGGACAAUGGGCGAAAGCCUGAUCCAGCAAUGCCGCGUGCAGGAAGAAGGCCUUCGGGUUGUAAACUGCUUUUGUACGGAGCGAAAAGGUCUCCUCUAAUACAGGGGGCUCACGACGGUACCGUAAGAAUAAGCACCGGCUAACUACGUGCCAGCCGCCGCCGUAA